AAAAAGACAAACUCCGAGUUUCCGUGUCACUGUCCGUUAUAUAUGAAUUUUUUUUAUAAUUAGUAUUUUUAUUAUUGUUAGAUGAUAAAACAUGAUUAGUACUUUAUAAUUAGUACUUUAUGCGUGACUUAUCUUUUUAAUUUUUUUCAUAAUUUUUUUAAAUAAGACGAACGGUCAAACGUUGUACAUGAAAACCCAGGAUUUGUCUUCUU
rnacentral:pre_miRNA from 1 species